GAAGAUUGGCUUUUUUAUCGACACCUCCUCAAACCUGGACUCUUUUUCACAGGCAACUCCUACCCCAAGUUCCAUUGCAUUACAGUGGCUGCUUCAUUCCCAUCUCAAACUGGUGAAAAGAUUGGAUUUUUAAUCUUUUUGAGAUGCACCCAAUAGAAGAUUGGCCUUUUUACAGUCACUCCAAUGCCAAGUUCCCAUUACAUUGCAGUGGCUGCUGGUUCAUUCCCAGCGCAACUGGGAAAAGAUUGGAUUUUUAAUCCUUUUUAGAUGCACCCAAUAGAAGAUUCAUUCCCAUCUCAACUGGUGAAAGAUUGAAUUUUUAAUCUUUUUGAGAUGGACCCUAUAGAAGAUUCAUUAAACUUUCAACAACCAAAAGCCAGACCAGAACACCCUUU
rnacentral:lncRNA from 1 species